GACGAAGGGGGCUAGCGUUGUUCGGAAUUACUGGGCGUAAAGCGCGUGUAGGCGGUUGUUCAAGUCAGGGGUGAAAGCCUUGAGCUCAACUCAAGAAAUGCACUUGAUACUGGAUAACUAGAGGACCGGAGAGGAUAGUGGAAUUCCCAGUGUAGUGGUGAAAUACGUAGAGAUUGGGAAGAACACCAGUGGCGAAGGCGGCUAUCUGGACGGUUUCUGACGCUAAGACGCGAAAGCGUGGGGAGCAAACAGG
rnacentral:rRNA from 1 species